UAUACUUUGCUUUCAAAAGGAAAUGAUGAUUUUUGUUUUUUUUAACAUAUGACUAAUCUUGAAAAUUCUUUAGUAAUUUGUGGUGCAACUGUAGAUGUUGUUGUUGUUGUUGUUGUUUGUACCCAAGUGUUAAUGUAAAGUAGUUUGAAAGUGCAGUAGUAACCUUAACGAAGAAGAAAGAGUUUGUUAAAGCUGUUUUUUCUGUCUUUAUGCCAACAAAGUGCUUUUUAAUUUUCUUUAAAUUGCUUUCUCCAGCUACAGUCCAGAACUUUCAUAAAUAUAAUAUUGCAUUUAAAUAAUCAAAACAAUACUUGAGUUAUAGCUUUGUGAAUAGCGGCAAUAGGGUGAUCCCAACAGGAAUAGCAACUAGUCUUCGGUUUGAAUGACAAGUUAACUUGUAUUAGUCAAACAUCUACUCUCAUGUAAUGGAAAUCAACAAGCAGCACAAUCAGCACUAACACAUGUAGUCUACAAGAUAUUUUUAAUUGCUAUAACUUUUAUUUCUUUUUACUUUCGCUAAUACAUUUUAGCACCUAUUGGUAACUUAAAUACACAAAUACAUGAAUGUUCUUUCAACUCCUAAUUAAAAAAAUAAAAAACUUACCUGUGCUUUUAUUCUUUUAUUUUUUAAUUAGAUCAAAACAAACAGUUCAUCAAACCAUCUUCGCUUUUAUGUAGGAGAUACCAUAAGUGAAGAACAGUUUUUUUUUUGAGGUAAAGCCCUAGGGAAUGCUCACAUGAUCACAUGUGCUCCUGUACAGGCAGUACAGCAUGAAUUCAAGCAAAAAGAAAGUCUGCAAGAGCUUAAAAAAAUGUAUUUAUCAGUGAUAUAGACUAGUGCAUUUUUAUUUGAAACUGUAUAUAUCUAGGCUCGCUUUUGUGUUCCAACUUUAUUUACUGUGAAAUAAUGUAAAUGCACCCACCGGUCAGUCCACAAAGGUUGCUGGAAUUGUUUGGUUUUUUUUGCAAGCGAUUUACUGUAAAACAUUUCUACCUAUACUAUACACGUAUUGUAUAUAAAAUUGCAGCUAAAAAAGAGUGCUAGUUAUUUUACGCUUCUGCCAUUUCAGAUUGUUAUAUUUGUUAAAUAAAAAAAUGAAACGCUGUGUAUGGCUUUUUUAAUUACCUUCAUAAUUAAGCCACUAAGACUAUACAUUUCUACAAUUUUUUUGAAGAGCUCGUCACAAUUUAGGUCUUAAUUGUUUUCAAUAUUAACUCGUGAACUAUGUGUUUAGAAAAGAAAAGGUAGCUGUAAUUUUCUCACAGUGAAAGCCUGGAGGAGAAGAAGAAAAAUACUCCCUGCUGGGUGAUCCAGUGCACUAAAUGAAACCCCUGACAUGGUCUUGAAGAUGAUCUUGACAGUUUCCCUGAAAUUAGAACCGACACGCAAAGCCUUUUAACCAAAAUCCACAAAUCAGAAACUGAGCUGAAAUAUGAACGCAGGUGUAGAAUCAAUGCAGAAAAAGAACUAAGACAGUGGAAAGAAGUGAACAUCUUCACGGCACAGAUGAAAGGGACUGCGAAUUAACUCAAAUCAGUUUUGACAUAUGCCAAAGUUGGACUUGAAAAACCCCAAAACAAAACCAAUGUGACGACUCCAUGUGUAGAAAACCACAUCGUGGAAGAUGCAUUUGAAAGCAAUUCAAAGGAAGUUCGAAUUCUUGAGCUUCCUGGUGGGCUUCGAGUGCAGAAAACUUUGUACAGCAGAAUUUUAGCAACAGACUUUAAAAAGUACACCUCAGAACUUUUGACGGCGGUCUUCAAUAAAGAAACUCUGGCCACGCAUUCUCUCCAAGGAAGGAAAUCGUCCAAUGGAAAAGAGGAUCACCAAAAACCACCACUGCCCUCUGAAGCAUUGGCAGAUUUAAUAGAGCACAUCAAAAUCUAAUUUAGAGUCGACGCAAGCCUGAUUAGAGCCCGCCAUAAGGAUGAAAUUAAAUAACGAGGAUAAAAUGUUAAAGAAGAGACUGAACACUUUUCUGAACAUGUAGGUUGAAGAACAGCGACAUGUUUUUAUGUUUAAGUGUGGUGAGUCAUACUGGACACAUUCAAAAAUGCAAAUGUGGCUUCACACAGAUGAUAAGAAUCCACCCAUUCUGCACGGUUUCUGAGUAUAUGCAAGGGAGUACACCAGUUAACUAAUUGUAAGACUCCUCAUUAUUGUGACUGUGAAAUACGUAAUUCCCCGAAUUUAAAUCAGUGAUAUAUUUAAGACUUCCAGCUAGUCGAGCAGCUUUUUAUAUAGUAUUUAGAAGCUUGUCAUGUAUAUUCGUACAUGUUAAGCACAUGAUAUAUUAUAUUAUUGCAUACCCUAAAAAAACAUGUUCCAUGUUCAAUAAAAUGUGUUUAUUUCUUGUGUCAAAACAAUGUUUUAUAUAUUUUUUAUUAUUUCUGCAUAUAAAUUUGAUUCUAACUUGUGUUCCCGUUCUUCCUUUUUAGAUUAAGAGACUGACAAGUGGCGAGUUUGCAUUCAGUCAUGUUGCUGAUGAUUGAUAUGUUGUGCGCAGUUGAUUUUAAGGCAAUAUAUGUUUCUGCUUUUUACUUUAUGUAAGAGCAAAAUAAAACCAUGCAUUACCUUUUAAUCAAUUGUAGCACACUGUAUUUCAUUAUUGAUUUUGUAAAUAGUUGGCUAUACGGCAUAAUUUUAUAGCACAGCUAAGGCAUUGGUCUGCUGUUUGUUAUAUGCAGAAUGUAUACAAGAAAUGCUUGGUUUAUGUGGCUGUCAAUAAUAAAGAUAAUA